rfam:Rodentibacter myodis strain Ac151 contig_4, whole genome shotgun sequence.
GCAACUUGCAGUUGUUUUAAUAAAAUUGGUUCCUUAGGUUUUGCCCUUCACUUGUUGAAGGGCUUUUUUAUUGCCCAUUCU